UAGAGACGAGAGGACAAGACGGCGGGUGCCAUGAUACUGAGGACGCCAACGUCAGGAUGGCGGGUGCCGGGAAUGGCAUCCUACUUGUCAUCAUUUCAUGAUCCGAGCACAGCUAAUCUUUUUAUGUUGUAAGAGAAGCAGAGUGGGGGUUUCUGGCUCAACAUCCAAGAUACAUGGAGACAGAAAAAAGGCUGAAGAGGCCUCAUGUAGUGCAUCUGUCCCGCUUCAUCCACAUUAAUGAGCUCCUCCUGCUGUAAGCUCUGAUUUACACACCACGUUGCUUAGGGCUGAGGCAGCACAAUUCUUGCCCAUCGCCACCGUUUCUGCUCAAUAAAACAAGGAUAACACUACAAAUAUUCAUCCCAACAGUGUUUUAUCCAUUAUGGAAAAAAGA